rnacentral:rRNA from 2 species
CUUGCCCGUGAUUCAUCAUGGAUCGAGUGGCGGACGGGUGAGUAACACGUGGGUAACCUGCCCUUAAGUGGGGGAUACCAUUUGAAAACCGAUGCUAAUACCGCAUAGAUCCAAGAACCGCAUGGUUCUUGCUGAAAGAUGGCGUACGCUAUCGCUUUUGGAUGGACCCGCGGCGUAUUAGCUAGUUGGUGAGGUAAUGGCUCACCAAGGCGAUGAUACGUAGCCGAACUGAGAGGAUGAUCGGCCCCAUUGGGACUGAGCCACGGCCAAACCUAAUACGGGAGGCAGCAGUAGGGAAUCUUCCACAAUGGACGCAAGUCUGAUGGAGCAACGCCGCGUGAGUGAAGAAGGCUUUCGGGUCGUAAAACUCUGUUGUUGGAGAAGAAUGGUCGGCAGAGUAACUGUUGUCGGCGUGACGGUAUCCAACCAGAAAGCCACGGCUAACUACGUGCCAGCAGCCGCGGUAAUACGUAGGUGGCAAGCGUUAUCCGGAUUUAUUGGGCGUAAAGCGAGCGCAGGCGGUUUUUUAAGUCUGAUGUGAAAGCCCUCGGCUUAACCGAGGAAGCGCAUCGGAAACUGGGAAACUUGAGUGCAGAAGAGGACAGUGGAACUCAUG